AUUGAACGCUGGCGGCAUGCCUUACACAUGCAAGUCGAACGGGAGCACGGGAGCAAUCCUGGUGGCGAGUGGCGAACGGGUGAGUAAAGUAUCGGAACGUGCCCAGUCGUGGGGGAUAACGUAGCGAAAGUUACGCUAAUACCGCAUACGAUCUAUGGAUGAAAGCGGGGGAUCGCAAGACCUCGCGCGAUUGGAGCGGCCGAUAUCAGAUUGGGUAGUUGGUGGGGUAAAGGCUCACCAAGCCGACGAUCUGUAGCUGGUCUGAGAGGACGACCAGCCACACUGGGACUGAGACACGGCCCAGACUCCUCCGGGAGGCAGCAGUGGGGAAUUUUGGACAAUGGGCGAAAGCCUGAUCCAGCCAUGCCGCGUGCAGGAUGAAGGCCUUCGGGUUGUAAACUGCUUUUGUACGGAACGAAAAGGUUUGGCCUAAUAAGCUGAGCUCAUGACGGUACCGUAAGAAUAAGCACCGGCUAACUACGUGCCAGCAGCCGCAGUAA
rnacentral:rRNA from 1 species